CCCCGCUGAGCCUGCUGUCUCACUCCCGGCAUCAAGCCCAUCGUCCCUAAAUCAAACCAUAGAAAAUUGGGCUUAAAAUAUUGGGGAGAGGCCCCCCAAAAGAGACCCAAAAGCUGCAUCUGUCGCCGGCUUACAUGAAAGUUGAGCUCAUGAGGAGCAGUGGUCACAUCGGUCCUCGCUCGCAGUAGAUCUAAGAUGAAAAAGGUUGAGGCUUGUUCCUCUUUAGCUUUGCUUGUACGGUGUUUUAUAGAGCAGGAUCUUGUGGACUGUUGGAGAAAUGUGUGCCGUUCGAUGCAUUGCCUGAUGGAUGUGACAUGCUAGUAGUCCAGAGCGAGCUAAGAAAAGGACGUGGCUGGCUCCUGCCCAGCAUUACUGUGACAGCCAGGAUGUCGGUUCAGGACCUUUGGUGAAGUCGAGGUCAUGGUAAACAAUCAUGCCAGCACACAAGUGGGUUUUAGUGCGCCCCUUUCAUUCACGUGCAGAGAAAGUAGGAGAGCAAAGCUUCGCGGGACGUGACCUCGGCUCUCCUUUAGGUAAACCGGCACUCCUGGCUAUGCGCAAGACCUGUGACUUCUUUUCUCAGCUUGAUCCUACUGGGAGAAGGCAGGAGAUGCAUAUGUAAUCCUGAUGUGUGUGUAUGUGUGAAACAGAAAGACUGAGGGAGUUCUUUUGUUGUUGUUGUUGUUGUUGUUGUUUUUUUCUUUUUCUCUUGGACCUUAUUUAUUACAUGAUGAUUUUACUAUGUAAAGGAGCACAGUGGCAAUAGCUGAAGUUGUCUUUUUUUAAUUUAUUUUUUAAAAAUAUGUAUUAAGAAAAUAAAGUCAAUCCCUCUGAUGGAAGCUGGAGCAAGGGUUACAUAUGAUUCAAGCUGGCUUAUAAACAAUAAUAACUCAUUUAUGAUAUGUAUAUAUCAACAGCCUCUUUCACUACGCUUACAUCAUGUGGAGACAGAAUAAAGGAAGACAGAGUUAUGCUACAUGUUAUUUUGUGAAUAAGAGAUUAUUAUAAUUAUAAUACACAUUAAAUGUAUGUUUAAUUAUGUUGAAUUAAUAUAAAAUAAUAUAUUAAUUUUAUUUAACUAUAAUUAGUUGUGACUGUGAUAAUAAAGGAAAAACAAACAGUGCUUCUGUGCAUGCAAAAAUGUUUAUUGUUACCACCAUAUUCUUAAUUCUAAAUCUUUAUAAUAAUAAUAAUAAAAAUGGAAACAAUGCACUGAAACAAUUGCUCAUGUAUUAUUUUAAAUUUAGAGAAAGAGAGAAAAACAUUUUUUACUAAAUAUAUUCUACUCUCAAUUAUGGUUGUUUUGUAUUUUUAAGCAGUUUUAUUUUCACAAUUUAAUCAAUAAAUGGUACCAUAUUUAAUUGCAAGCUUUAAACAGAUUUCAUUAUGUAAAAAGGCAAAGCAAAGAAGGCAACAUUAAUUUUUUUUUCAAAUUCAAAAUGCAUUAAAAAUACAAUUUAUGGAAUGAAAUGAAAAUUUUAUGUUGAUGGGGUCAGUGUUUAUUUAAUAUUAAAAGCUAAAUACUAUAGAAUGACAUGUGAAUAAGAGGUGAAUUCUAGCGUUUAUUCUGUCAUGUUAUUUUGAAUCCAGUUGACAUGCAAAUAUUGGACUAAUAUGAGAUGUUUUGUUUACCUGUUCUACUUUUAAUGUCAUUUGACUAAAGGAAAACCACUGGGCCAGUCAAUGUGAACUUUAGUACUUUGAUAUAAAGUAGGCCUAUAAGAAAUUUUAGGGGUCAUCCCUUCAACCCACAUAUCUUGAUUGCUGUUCAUAUGUAUUACAUAGUUGUCUGUUGUUAGAUUUUUAAUUGUGAUGUUUACCAUCUUCAAUAACAGUUUGAUAAGCUGAAUACAAGGGUCCAAACAAGGGUAGAUCAAUGACCAAUGUUGUCGUAAGGUAUAAAAAAUACCAAAAUGCCUUCAUAAUGUUGAACUGUUACAAAUAAAGAUGAUUUAUUAAACCAUAUAUGGUUAAAGUGUGUUUUGACACUGUUGUGUUUCCUCAGCCCCUCCUCUCUCUAUUUUUCCAUGGAAACUCAGGGAAGAGUUGAGGUAAGAACUAGUCUGAACAUGACAGCUUCACCAUGGAGGCACACAGUCACAACACCAAUUGUGUUUUGGAUACA
ensembl:lncRNA